rnacentral:rRNA from 1 species
AGGAUGAUCAGCCACACUGGAACUGAGACACGGUCCAGACUCCUACGGGAGGCAGCAGUGGGGAAUAUUGCACAAUGGGCGCAAGCCUGAUGCAGCCAUGCCGCGUGUGUGAAGAAGGCCUUCGGGUUGUAAAGCACUUUCAGUCGUGAGGAAGGUAGUGUAGUUAAUAGCUGCAUUAUUUGACGUUAGCGACAGAAGAAGCACCGGCUAACUCCGUGCCAGCAGCCGCGGUAAUACGGAGGGUGCGAGCGUUAAUCGGAAUUACUGGGCGUAAAGCGCAUGCAGGUGGUUUGUUAAGUCAGAUGUGAAAGCCCGGGGCUCAACCUCGGAAUAGCAUUUGAAACUGGCAGACUAGAGUACUGUAGAGGGGGGUAGAAUUUCAGGUGUAGCGGUGAAAUGCGUAGAGAUCUGAAGGAAUACCGGUGGCGAAGGCGGCCCCCUGGACAGAUACUGACACUCAGAUGCGAAAGCGUGGGGAGCAAACAGGAUUAGAUACCCUGGUAGUCCACGCCGUAAACGAUGUCUACUUGGAGGUUGUGGCCUUGAGCCGUGGCUUUCGGAGCUAACGCGUUAAGUAGACCGCCUGGGGAGUACGGUCGCAAGAUUAAAACUCAAAUGAAUUGACGGGGGCCCGCACAAGCGGUGGAGCAUGUGGUUUAAUUCGAUGCAACGCGAAGAACCUUACCUACUCUUGACAUCCAGAGAACUUUCCAGAGAUGGAUUGGUGCCUUCGGGAACUCUGAGACAGGUGCUGCAUGGCUGUCGUCAGCUCGUGUUGUGAAAUGUUGGGUUAAGUCCCGCAACGAGCGCAACCCUUAUCCUUGUUUGCCAGCGAGUAAUGUCGGGAACUCCAGGGAGACUGCCGGUGAUAAACCGGAGGAAGGUGGGGACGACGUCAAGUCAUCAUGGCCCUUACGAGUAGGGCUACACACGUGCU